AUCAAGAGGUAGGUCUCACCUGUACAUUCUUAUAGUCAGACAUAUGGAGCGAUAGAGAGGUAAGACUUACCUGUACAUUCUUAAAGUCAGACAGACAGGUGGAGCAACAGAGUGGUAGGUCUCACUUGUAUAUUCUUAUAGUCAGACAGACAGGUGGAGCAACAGAGUGGUAGGUCUCACUUGUAUAUUCUUAUAGUAAGACAGACAGGUGGAGCAACAGAGUGGUAGGUCUCACUUGUACAUUCUUAUAGUCAGACAGACAGGUGGAGCAACAGAGUGGUAGGUCUCACUUGUACAUUCUUAUAGUCAGACAGACAGGUGGAGCAACAGAGUGGUAGGUCUCACUUGUAUAUUCUUAUAGUCAGACAGACAAGGGGAGCAACAGAGUGGUAGGUCUCACUUGUAUAUUCUUAUAGUCAGACAGACAGGUGGAGCAACAGAGUGGUAGGUCUCACUUGUAUAUUCUUAUAGUCAGACAGACAGGGGGAGCAACAGAGUGGUAGGUCUCACUUGUAUAUUCUUAUAGUCAGACAGACAGGUGGAGCAACAGAGUGGUAGGUCUCACUUGUAUAUUCUUAUAGUCAGACAGACAGGUGGAGCAACAGAGUGGUAGGUCUCACUUGUAUAUUCUUAUAGUCAGACAGACAGGUGGAGCAACAGAGUGGUAGGUCUCACUUGUAUAUUCUUAUAGUCAGGCAGACAGGUGGAGCAACAGAGUGGUAGGUCUCACUUGUAUAUUCUUAUAGUAAGACAGACAGGUGGAAC